UGUUGGAAGGACUCCAUGGUCCAAUGCAAAUUGAGUGGUGAUGUAUUAAAUAGGAAGAAAGCCCUCCUCCUUAAUAGAGCAUCCAGGAUGCACGGUGCUGAAGGUGCUGCCUCUAGCCCUGCCCUGGGAACCCGCAUCCAAGCCCAUCCCUCCACGCUCCAGGGAGAUCUGCUGGAACCUGCUCCUGCUGGUGCGAUCCUGACAUCCCUGAGAGCCUGGCGGGGUGAGAAGGAUCCUGCCAUGCCACGGGUGCUCAGCCGGCUCCGUGCCGGAGCGGACAGCUGGGUGCAGCCUCGGCGGCAGCGGUGUCCUGCUCUCGCUGCUGCUGCACAACGGAGGAGCAAAUGAGCAGCCCACCUUUCUUCAGCAGUGUUCAGAAAUAUCCGAAAACAAGAGUUAUAUGCAUUUCCUUCAUUCACCUGGAAAGUCUCAUUCCCCUGCUAGACAUCUGCCAUAAUGCAGUCCUGCCUGGAUCGGGAACCACACGUGGAGUUUUAUUACGCUCCGAAUACCAAUUACUUCAGGUACUCAUGCAGCAAUCUCUGCCCCAAAUGAUGCAAUGAGGGAAUUGGAGCUAAGCUGAGACUAUGUUUGGGUGAUUGCUAUAAAUCUGUUUUUAUUAUAAGAUUUCUGGUCAGUGUGCCACUUGGUCCUCCCCGCUCUGGUUUUGACUGACACGCUCUGUGAUCUUUCCAGCUCAUGCAAGGCCAGAUGCUUGGGACCAGCGCUUGGAAAACAACUGGCAGUGUCAGGGCUGCAGCUGAAGGCUCAGGUUUCUGACUGAUUUUCAAUGCUUGGGGAAGCUUCCAGAGUUGCAACAUCGUUCUGCAACACACCAAAUCAAAGGUGGGACGCUGAAAUAUGCUGGGAUUGGAGCAAGCUGCUGAACAGCUGAGGAAGGCACAGACCUGGGGAAAGAAAAGAAGAUGGAGAGCUGCAGAAAACCAGAUUGCUCUGAAUGCAGACCCGGGAGGGACCCCUGCAGCUUGCUGGGCAGUGUGGGCCACCCCUGCCCCAUGGCAGUGGGUUUUUCUCCAGGACUCUCGCCUGGAGCUGAACGCAAGCAGCGUCCCUGAAAAGGGCAGAUAAACAAAGAGUGGACGGGAAAUUAAUGUGGCACAAGGCUGAGCUCACUGACCGAGAUGUGGCCAGGGUGAUGCAACGAGGGUCAAUUAAGCUGCCACCACGCAGCCUCACAGGGCGAAUUAAGUGCCAAUUUUCUGCACUGCUGAAGAGGUAAAGAAUGAAAAUGAUAACUAACAGGAAGUUUCAGCUGAAAAGAAAGAGCAAGUUGGGAGAUGGGAGUUUGAGGCUGGACUCGGGCCAACGAUGAGACAACCGGGCGAGCGGCACUGCCCUCUGCCGAAGCGAGCUCCGGGGAGCUCCGGCAGCUGGGACCGUUUUCCUGCCCCAAACCCUGGGGAGACAGUGGGGUCCAUGGGUCUGGCAUGGCCGGGAGGGCACCGGGGGCUGGCAGCUCACAGAGCCAAGCCUGGCCGAGCACGGGUUCUGGUACGGGUCGGACACUACAGCUAUCCAAGCAAGAUGAAGGAGUGGGACCUCUACUCCUUGGCCGAGGUACCCACACUCUGCCCUUCUGGCUGGAGGGAGCGAUGGGUGGCCGGGAAGGGUGCUCAGGCAUCCCAGGGUGCACAGACGGGGAGCUCCCCAGAGAAGGCAGAAGUGAUGGGAGCUUGUGGGCUGUCACCCCCCACCCUGCUCGCCCCAGACACGUCCCUCUCCAUGCGAGGCACAGCGGUGUCCCUCCCAACCACUGCUUUUUGCAGGAGGUGGGAAUGCAGAGAGCUGGGUUUACUCCCUCUGCACGGCUGCUGCAGGUCCCCGGGGUGUUUGGGAAGGUAAUUCCGGACCCAGGGCAGGGACCAGAGUCCGGCCCGGCGCUACGGGAGCAGACUGCAGAAUUUGUUUGCGGAGGGAAGUUCCCUGUCUGAGCAGAGUUUUCCCCUCCCUUUGGGAAGCAACAGCCCUGCCUGGUGCUUUCCCGAGGACGAGAUGGCUGCGGCACAGUCCGUCGCUCAUUCCCGCUCCUUGCGCUCCCUCUGCAGGAGCGGACCGCCGGCCUGGGGCGGGGGGGGCCGGGGCCGCAUCCAGCCCCACCGGUUUGCAGCCAAAGUCAGGCUGGCACUUCUCGCAGGACCCCUUUGGGAUGAGGCCAGGGCGUUGUUUAAUCAAAAGGCUCGAGCUAAUUUCCUUGCGUGUGUGCGGGGUUGAGUCCUGCGCGGUGUGCCCUUCGGGGACCAGGCUGCGCUUUGGGCUUGGGCAAACUGGGGGGUGCGAUGCCCUCAGGGCUCUGGGAAAUGGGGCGGAGGUGGGGUCUGCCCCAGAGGGGAGAGCAGGAGCUGGCUGGAGAGGAGAGGCUGCGGGAUGCGGGGAUGCUCGCCAGAGAAGCUGCCCUGCGCCCCGGCUGUGAAAAACCUUUGCUGGGGUGCAGCCCCAACCAAAGCCUUUGAAACCUGAAAGGAAAACAUCUCCUCCGUUCCAAAACGCAUCCCCUGCUAUUCAGCUAAAACUCCGGGCUGUCCCAGCACUGCCCCAAUUCUGGUACCCUGUGUGCUGGGCAAUGCCACCUCCUGCUCAGUGUCUCUGGGGAACUCAGUGGCUCUGUCCGUCCCUGUCCUCCUGUCUUGCCCUCACGCGGGGCAGCUGAGGGAAAGCAGCAUUCCAAGGUGUCAAUCCGUAGGCACAUCUGCUGCUCCCAGCCCUCCUUCCUCAGCCAUGCGGGAGCUCAGGCACAGCUCCCCAUCUCCUCUUCCCGCAGCCCCGGGGCCACAGCUCCUGCUCCCUCUGUAAGCGGAGAGGUUCCCUCCCCGCCAGAGGCCAGGCUGCCAAAUUCCAGCCAAGAGCACAUUUUUACGGCAUGACACCAGUGGGGCCCCAGCAGGAGACGGCAUGAGAUCCAGGCGUUCGCCCAAGAGGCUCCGGUACCGGCACGGCAGCAACGUUGCGUGGACGGCUCGGCUCGCCCAGCACCGUCUGCCCCGCCGGUUUCCUCUCCCUGCCCGUGAAAGUGCUCGCCAAAUAUUACAAAACAUCCUCCUUCCUUUCCCCCAGGCUGCAGGGUGCACUGAGACACCCCGCCGCUGCCUGGCCCUCCCCACGCUGUCCAUCCCCUUCCUUCCUCCCUGCUCCUUUUCCAGGCAGCUGCUCACACAAGCGGCUUUCGAAGGAGCCCCGGGACAGGUAGCAGAGAGUGACGGAGCCCAGGACAAGUCUGCGGCUACAAAGGGAGCGGCCCCUUGCCAAGGAGCGCUGGGGCUGCAGAUGGAGCCGAAAUAGCCGAGCUCCAGCCAGAGCCGAGCACAGAGCAGCAGCACUGGCACGUUACCUGCUGCGCGUCCCCCAGCUUGCUCAGCAUCCGACGCAGCGUCUGUCAGCCCUGCCCAGCAUUUGUGAUGCCCGUUUGCCGAUGUGUGCGUGUUGCUGGAGCCUUGGCUCCCUCGCCCGGUGCCGGGGUAGCCUGAUGAGGAGAAAGCCGCUAUGUUACGUUUGGGUUCACCUCUUUAGUUCAGAUCCCUGCUCCAACAGGACAGACUUCUCAGGGAAUACUGAAUUCCUGUCUUUUGGCAGAGGUCCUUGGCUCAGCGAGACCUCGUGAAAGCCUAUUUCUGAGAUGCAUGACUGAAGGCUGGAUGCGGCAUCCCAGCUUUGCAGCGCACGCGGGUGCCAGGCAGCCCCCCAGUCUGCUUGGGGAGGCCUGAGUUGAAGUGUGUCUAUAAACCGCAGCGUUUCAGCAUCUGCAGGCACACCGGGAUUUUUGCCUAGGCAAGGAAGGGCAGCAUUUCUAACUGCCCCACUUGAAAACGUCUGCAGGAAAUUCUUUUGAAACCAAAGGCACAGAAACAAAAGGGCCGAGCCCUCGGGAAGGCUGCCCGUGCCAAAGCCCGGCCCUUGGGCACGGUCUCCGCACACGGAUGCCGCGCAGGGGACCACAGCUCUCCGGUGCCGCACAGCCUUGCAUGGGGGUCUCUCCUGCCCCGUUCGACAGGCAGGGCUGCGCAGAGGCAGGGCAGUGGAGGAGAUGGGCAGUGACGCAAGACACAGCACAUCACGUAUGUGGCGGUCGGUCUUUCAAACACACGCAGAACAUCAGAGCAGCCAAAAGACCGCUCUGAGCUUUGCAUCUUGGGCCUGGGAAUGCAAAAAAUCAUCUCAUCGCCUCCUUCACCCACCUGCCACAAGCUGAGUCAGGGCUCUGGGCUUCCGUGCUCCAGCCCGAGAGCCCCCAUACGCUCCUCUCCCAGCAUGGCCAGAUUCCCCCAGGAGCAGUUGGCAGGGGAAAGCAGAGGGGCCGGAGCGAGACCCAUGCUCCCCUGUGUUGCUGCCAGGUUGCGGAUUUGGGGCCGCGGUGCAUUACCCGGAGGCUGUGGGCAUCGCAGGGGACGUAUCGCCAGCGGUGCAGGCAGCUGCCAGCACCUCCGGGAGGGCUCGGGAGUGCCAGGCUGCACGGCAGUGCACGGGUGCUGCCUGCCUGCUGCCUGCACCACCGCCAGGGAUUAUGCAGCCACAUGCAGCAGGCAGGGGCCCCACGCCACGUCCCACACGGUCGUCACCUGACUCGGCCAUGGUGACCGACCACAGCCUCCGGCCUCUCUCCCGGCACGCCAGCGGCAGAGGUAACGUUCCCUUCUAUCGGAUGUCGUGGGCUUUGGGGAGGUUGGGGCCGUUGGAACGACUGCGGCGGUCGCAGGAGCCCCCAUGCAAGCGGAAAAAGGGGUUCAUUGUAUGGGUGUGCGUGGCUGCGGGCAUGCUGGGCACUUGCACAGGCAGGAGGGCGGUUGAGCUGGUCAGGACAUUUUUUCAUCCAAGGAAGGUUUGGUUGGUUUUGAUCGGGUUUUGUGUUUGGCUUUUUGUUGGUUUUUCUUUUCUUUUAGGAAGGUGAAAGCUUUCAAGGGUGUCAACAUUUUUCUUGCCAAAAAAUAAUGCAACGCAAGCCAGAACACCCUGACCGACAAAAGAAAGAUUAAUAUUUGAGUUUUCAGUUUCUCUGAAGUAAAAAGCCCCAAAUGGUGUCAGAAAUGGAUAUGUUCUCUCAGGCACUUUAAUUAAAAUAAAUCCAACCAGGACGUUUCCUUAGCAGGGUCA